UACGGAGGGUGCGAGCGUUGUCCGGAAUCAUUGGGCGUAAAGCGCACGUAGGCGGUUCGGUAAGUCGGGUGUGAAAGCCCUCGGCUCAACUGAGGAAGUGCAUUCGAAACUACCGGACUUGAGUAUGGAAGAGGGUCGCGGAAUUCCCGGUGUAGAGGUGAAAUUCGUAGAUAUCGGGAGGAACACCAGUGGCGAAGGCGGCGACCUGGGCCAAUACUGACGCUGAGGUGCGAAAGCGUGGGGAGCAAACAGG
rnacentral:rRNA from 1 species